rnacentral:rRNA from 1 species
GACGAACGCUGGCGGCGUGCCUAAUACAUGCAAGUAGAACGCACAGUUUAUACCGUAGCUUGCUACACCAUAGACUGUGAGUUGCGAACGGGUGAGUAACGCGUAGGUAACCUGCCUGGUAGCGGGGGAUAACUAUUGGAAACGAUAGCUAAUACCGCAUAAUAUUGAUUAUUGCAUGAUAAUUGAUUGAAAGAUGCUAUUGCAUCACUACCAGAUGGACCUGCGUUGUAUUAGCUAGUAGGUGAGGUAACGGCUCACCUAGGCGACGAUACAUAGCCGAACUGAGAGGGGGGUCGGCCACACUGGGACUGAGACACGGCCCAGACUCCUACGGGAGGCAGCAGGAGGGAAUCUUCGGCAAUGGACGAAAGUCUGACCGAGCAACGCCGCGGGAGUGAAGAAGGUUUUCGGAUCGUAAAGCUCUGUUGUAAGGGAAGAACGGGUGUGAGAGUGGAAAGUUCACACUGUGACGGUAGCUGACCAGAAAGGGACGGCUAACUACGUG